GAAUGCUCGCAAUCAGUUUGACCGGGGAACAUGUUUAUCUGACCCGCGGGGGGUCGGCAGGAUCUCGUCUUGCCCUCCCCCCGUUGCCGGGCGGCGGCCGUGCGCCGCGCUGCUUCCGCUCGGCAAACACAAACCCCGGCGCCCUCGUGCGCCAAGGAAUCCGAAACUGUCGAGUGCGGCCCCGGGGGAGUUGGAGACAACGUCCCGCGGGUGCCGUCACCGCACACGAAAGAGAAUGACUCUCGGCAAUGGAUAUCUCGGCUCUUGCAUCGAUGAAGAACGUAGCGAAAUGCGAUACUUGGUGUGAAUUGCAGAAUCCCGUGAACCAUCGAGUCUUUGAACGCAAGUUGCGCCCGAAGCCAUUAGGCCGAGGGCAUGCCUGCCUGGGUGUCACACACUGUUUACCUCACGCAAAGGUCCGACUUCCGGUCGGCCGGCGCGGGAUGUGUACGUUGACCUCCCGCGAGCUGUGACUCGCGGUUGGUUGAAAUUCGAGUUCACGGCCGAGUGCGCGCCGUGAUAAGACGGUGGACGGGCAAAAUGCUCGAGGCCAAUCACGCGCGAUCCGGUCCGGUGUGACCCUUGGACCCCUGCGGCGUCUUCGGAUGC
rnacentral:rRNA from 1 species